rnacentral:rRNA from 1 species
GACGAACGCUGGCGGCGUGCCUAAUACAUGCAAGUCGAACGAACGGAUUGAGGAGCUUGCUCUUCAAGAAGUUAGUGGCGGACGGGUGAGUAACACGUGGGUAACCUGCCCUUCAGCGGGGGAUAACAUCCGGAAACGGGUGCUAAUGCCGCAUAGUUUCUUUUUCCGCCUGGAAGAAGAAGGAAAGAUGGCCUUUGUGCUAUCACUGAGGGAUGGACCCGCGGCGUAUUAGCUAGUUGGUAAGGUAGCGGCUUACCAAGGCAACGAUACGUAGCCGACCUGAGAGGGUGAUCGGCCACACUGGAACUGAGACACGGUCCAG